rnacentral:rRNA from 1 species
UACGUAGGGGGCUAGCGUUGUCCGGAAUCAUUGGGCGUAAAGCGCGCGUAGGCGGCCCGGUAAGUCCGCUGUAAAAGUCCAGGGCUCAACCCUGGAACGCCGGUGGAUACUGUCGGGCUAGAGUCCGGAAGAGGCGAGUGGAAUUCCUGGUGUAGCGGUGGAAUGCGCAGAUAUCAGGAGGAACACCGAUGGCGAAGGCAGCUCGCUGGGACGGUACUGACGCUGAGACGCGAAAGCGUGGGGAGCGAACAGG